GACGGAGGGGGCUAGCGUUGUUCGGAAUUACUGGGCGUAAAGCGCACGUAGGCGGUGAUGUAGGUUAGGGGUGAAAUUCCGGGGCUCAACCCCGGGCGGUCCUCUAAUACCGCAUUGCUGGAGGACAGGAGAGGAGAGCGGAAUUCCCAGUGUAGAGGUGAAAUUCGUAGAUAUUGGGAAGAACACCGGUGGCGAAGGCGGCUCUCUGGCCUGUAACUGACGCUGAGGUGCGAAAGCGUGGGGAGCAAACAGG
rnacentral:rRNA from 1 species